rnacentral:rRNA from 1 species
GACGAACGCUGGCGGCGUGCUUAACACAUGCAAGUCGAACGAGACCCCCGCUUCGGUGGGGUGUUCUAGUGGCGAACGGGUGAGUAACACGUGGGCAACCUGCCCCCGGCUCUGGGAUAACUCCAAGAAAUUGGGGCUAAUACCGGAUAUGACCGCUGACCGCAUGGUCUGGUGGUGGAAAGAUUUAUCGGCUGGGGAUGGGCCCGCGGCCUAUCAGCUUGUUGGUGGGUAGUGGCCUACCAAGGCGACGACGGGUAGCCGGCCUGAGAGGGGGACCGGCCAGAAUGGGCCUGAGACACGGCCCAGCCUCCUACGGGAGGCAGCAGUGGGGAAUAUUGCGCAAUGGGCGGAAGCCUGACGCAGCGACGCCGCGUGGGGGAUGACGGCCUUCGGGUUGUAAACCUCUUUCAGCAGGGACGAAGCCGCAAGGUGACGGUACCUGCAGAAGAAGCACCGGCCAACUACGUGCCAGCAGCCGCCGUAA